rnacentral:ncRNA from 1 species
CCGGUGGGCCGCGACUGGCGCGCACGGAUGGAAUCGACCAUCGGGAAGCGGUCCCGUGAAUCCUCACGCCGUAGUUGCCGAGCGCCUGGGCCGCCCGC